AGGUCCAAAAUGAAAAGGCAGGAAAACCUGGAGAAACCGCAGCAUCGAAGGACGAUCAGGAUGAAGAGCCGGAAUCUGCCGGACUGAGCUUCGGUGACAGGUUUGCAAGGAAACUCAUGGAGUUCUGCAGGAAGACCAAGAAGAAGAAAUGCGAUUGAAAACAGGCAUGAAGGCAUGAAUGGGAGAACAUCGUUAGAAUGUACAGUCUGCCUUCAAAUGAUAUUGGGCUUUUGGGGCUUUUAGAAUUCUUCAUAAAUAUACAUCAUUUCUCAAAAUGCGUGUUUCUACAAGUUGCAGUUAAUAAUCAACAUGCUUAUGCAAGACAAAGCAGGAGAAAAUGGCGGAGCAGAGCUUAGCAUUGUGUAAAUUGCAAGUCCCUAGUAUUUGAAGCUAAUCCCUUUGCCUUAGUGCUCCACACAGCUUCAUUGUUUUUUGUGAAAAAUAAAUCUUGUAAAUUUAUUAAA